rnacentral:tRNA from 4 species
UGCGGGAUCGUCUAAUGGCAGGACAACAGACUUUGAAUCUGUUUAUCAUGGUCCGAAUCCAUGUCCCGCAGCUA